CAUUGUGUGCGCAAACGCGUGACACGUAAAAACUAACACCUGUUAAUAAAUAACAAUAAUAAUUCUAUGUAGACACACGUACAUCAAUCCAUAUUUUGAAUGGUACUUUAUAUUGUGACGUUUAUAUUUGGCCUAUGAGUGUGCGUGUAUAUCAUCCGUAUUCGUCCGCUUGCAGUACUAACAGUAUCUAUAUUGUAAUAAUAAUUGGUGACAAUUCGGUUACAGUCAAGUUCUUCAUUUAACGAUGACAGUGCACAAUUGGAAACUAAUAUGUAAUUGAAAAAUUCUUCUCCUCUGUUUGAAAAUACUCUAAAAUCGGUAAUUUGUAAAGUCUGUAUAUAGUUUCAAAUUGUUACGUUUCCCGUAACACUAUUUAUGUAAUAAUCAUUUAAAACGGCAAAUUAGAUAGGCAAUUAAAGGUCAGCGAUUUAAAUUUCACAUUGAUGUACAAGUUCAGACGCUUGCCAAUGAGGAAUCAAGGCAAGACCCACGGACCUUCAGGAUUUGGUAUGUGGACUUACGAGAGAAGACCUAAUGAAGUACUGACCAACCACUAUAAAAGGAUUGCAAUUCCGUUUCGAGAUAAAAGCACUAUUGUGAAGAGUAAGAAGAUCUAGAGAGAAAUCGCGAGUCAUUGUAGCACUGUCAAAGGAUGUGAACCAUGGUUGACAAGCCAAUCUAAAAUGUUAUAAGAAAGGAGAUGCGGUGAACGUGGCCUUAAGAGUUACUGGAUUUGAGCUGACUUGAUAAGACGAAGCAGACAGAGUACAAUGGAAUAACGAUUGGCAUAAUUAUAACAAUUCAGAGAUACUACCAACCACUGUGUUCUUCUUAUAUAUUCUUUCUCUUUUGGUACCACAGGCGAAACGAUGAUCACGGGAUUCAGAGUUAAGAAGUUUAAAUAUUGUUUGCAUAAACAUAAAUUCAUCUUCAAUGUAUAAUAUUAUUGUAAUGAUUGAAAAGACUCAAAAUUAUCGGGAACAAUCAUAUGUCUUUUAAUCACUUACUUAUUAUAUUAUAAUUUGGUAAUAUUACCUCUCCGCUCCUUGUAGUGACUUACCUGUUGAAACCCGUGGUUCGUAUCCAAGAUAUAAUAUGAGAUGACCGAUUUAUAUUAUAUAUUUAUAUAUUAAUUUUAUUUAACUUUUUUAACACAAUUAAUUAUACGUAUUUGAAUUUAUUACAAACGUUUAUAACUAACUUAUUAUGUCUUAUUGCAUAAACGAUCUGCGUAGUCUUUUACACUCGUCUUUGACCGUUCAUACAAAAAGACAAUAAUAACACGUCUGGGGCUUCGACUAAAAACUGGAAUCCUUAUAUUAUAGAAGAAUUCCAGUUUUCGGUUAGGUUAAGUACCUAACCUAAACAUAUAAGUUAUAUGAUGUGUAUAAUAUCGUUAUAUUUUAUCCUAUUCAAUAUCUGUAACUUAUUCUUAUCUUUAAUGGAUAACAAUUAUUAUAGUUAUUUUAUUACACAUUUUAAAUUUAAAAAGGAUAUGAUGACUUAGGCGCACAUCAUUACAUUAUGACGUAUGUAAGGGUGUAUUACUCUAUUAUGCUUAUAAAUUAUAGUUUUACCACGCUCAAAUCAUGAAUAAAUAUUUAAAUUUGUA